rnacentral:rRNA from 1 species
CCAAGGAAGGCAGCAGGCGCGCAAAUUACCCACUCCCAGCUCGGGGAGGUAGUGACCAAAAAUAACGAUACGGGACUCAUCCGAGGCCCCGUAAUCGGAAUGAGUACACUCUAAACCCUUUAACGAGGAUCCAUUGGAGGGCAAGUCUGGUGCCAGCAGCCGCGGUAAUUCCAGCUCCAAUAGCGUAUAUUAAAGUUGUUGCGGUUAAAAAGCUCGUAGUCGAAUUUGUGUCUCGCGCCGUCCGGUUCAUCGUUCGCGGUGUCAACUGGCGUGCCGCGAGACGUCCUGCCGGCGGAUCGUUCGCAAGAACGGUCCAACUGACCCCGCCGCGGUGCUCUUCAUUGAGUGUCGAGGUGGGCCGGCACGUUUACUUUGAACAAACUAAGGUGCUUAAAGCAGGCUGAAAUUUUGCCAGAAUAUUUUAUGCAUGGAAUAAUGAAACAGGACCUCGAUUCUAUUUUGUUGGUUUUCGGAACCUCGAGGUAAUGAUUAACAGGAACGGAUGGGGGCAUUCGUAUUGCGACGUUAGAGGUGAAAUUCUUGGAUCGUCGCAAGACGGACAGAAGCGAAAGCAUUUGCCAAAAACGUUUUCAUUGAUCAAGAACGAAAGUUAGAGGUUCGAAGGCGAUCAGAUACCGCCCUAGUUCUAACCAUAAACUAUGCCAGCUAGCGAUCCGCCGACGUUCCUCCGAUGACUCGGCGGGCAGCUUCCGGGAAACCAAAGCUUUUGGGUUCCGGGGGAAGUAUGGUUGCAAAGCUGAAACUUAAAGGAAUUGACGGAAGGGCACCACCAGGAGUGGAGCCUGCGGCUUAAUUUGACUCAACACGGGAAACCUCACCAGGCCCGGACACCGGAAGGAUUGACAGAUUGAGAGCUCUUUCUUGAUUCGGUGGGUGGUGGUGCAUGGCCGUCUUAAUUGGUGGAGCGAUUGUCUGGUUAUUCCGA